CUCUCAGACAGAACCAUCCACCAUCUUUUUGUUAAGUGCUCCAGAUUCCUUUCAGGACUGGGGAAAGUAGCGCUGAAAGACGUUCUGUGUUCAGUUAGAGACAUUGCUCUGGUUCGGAAUUUUUGACUUGUUCUUUCUUUUGUAUAUAUAUUGUGUUCUGUGGGAUUUAGUGUUUUUUAUCAUUUUUCUUUGAUAAACAGUAUCUCUUUCCCUCUUUCUCUGAGUGGAAGGAGUGCUGAGUGAAGGGAGCGUGAGAUGAAUUGUGGUUGUGUUUUUCUGUCAGUUAUCUUGUUUAGUUUCUGCAUCUAUGUGGUGUGUAUUGUGGUUUGAAUGUGUAGCGUGACUUUUUUUUUGUGGGUUAGUUUUUGCAUGUUUGCAGCCGAUCAGCAUGCUGCAUGAUGGACUGGCGCAGACGCGUGAAGCACAGCGUGAAGAACAACGUGAAGCACGGCAUGAAGCACGGCGUGAAGCUUGCGUGCUGGGUGGACGACUGCGGCAUGGCCGUGAGGGGAUUGGUGGGUGGAAUGUUCUUUUUGAAGAGCUGGUGAAGAAUGGGAAAGUAUCCUCAGGAUGCAGGUCUCCUCUGCUGAGAUGUGGUAUCUCACAGGAGACUGCUCCACAUUGUCCUCACCAAGGCCCAUGGUUCUCAGCCUGGUGAUUAAGGUUUCCAUGGACGGUGGUUCUAUCUGAACUCUGGACAGAGAUUAGGAAGUCAGGUUCUCCACAUCAACAGUAAAAUGGUAUGAUGUUAAGCUCACAACUAUGUCUGCUGCCCCAAGUGUCCAAUAAAUAAAAGAUAUUAUGAUUAAUAUUAUUAAUAGGCUAAAUAAUAAUAACAAUUCAUUAUUACCAUUAAUUGUGGUAAAAAGAGUAUGCUAGAGUGUAUAUUUUGUUAAUUUGAUAAUGUUUUA
ensembl:lncRNA